rnacentral:tRNA from 1 species
GGUGGCUCAGUGGUAGAGCGCUUGCCUUGCAUGCAAGGGUUCAAUUCCCUGGGUUCAAUUCCUCAGCACCA